rnacentral:rRNA from 1 species
UACAGAGGGUGCAAGCGUUACUCGGAAUUACUGGGCGUAAAGCGUGCGUAGGUGGUUCUUUAAGUCAGGCGCGAAAUCCCUGGGCUCAACCUGGGAACUGCAUUUGAUACUGAAGAGCUAGAGUGUGAUAGAGGAUAGUGGAAUUCCCGGUGCAGCGGUGAAAUGCGUAGAUAUCGGGAGGAACACCAGUGGCGAAGGCGGCUAUCUGGAUCAACACUGACACUGAGGCACAAAAGCGUGGGUAGCAAACAGG